ACGUAGGGUGCAGGCGUUAAUCGGAAUUACUGGGCGUAAAGCGUGCGCAGGUGGUUUGUUAAGACAGGUGUGAAAUCCCCGGGCUUAACCUGGGAAUUGCGCUUGUAACUGGCAGACUUGAGUGUGGCAGAGGGGGGUGGAAUUCCAAGUGUAGCAGUGAAAUGCGUAGAUAUUUGGAGGAACACCGAUGGCGAAGGCAGCCCCCUGGGCUAACACUGACGCUCAUGCACGAAAGCGUGGGGAGCAAACAGGAUUAGAUACCCUGGUAGUCCACGCCCUAAACUAUGUCAACUGGUUGUCGGGGAAGCAAUUCCUUGGUAACGAAGCUAACGCGUGAAGUUGACCGCCUGGGGAGUACGGCCGCAAGGUUA
rnacentral:rRNA from 1 species